CAAAAACAGGAAUCAGUUUCCGAUUUUACUUUAAGGACUAUGUUCCUCGUGAUAAUUGUAGUACAUAUUUAUUACGACUAUGUUAAGAUAAAAUAAGAACUUUUACUUAAAUUGCAAGCAAAGAGUUUUUACCCGAUAUAUGGAUAUCUAGUGCCGUUUUACCCAUGUUGCUGAGGCUGAAGCUGGAGUGGCAAAGAAUGUAUUGGGCUUUGUAGGCAUUGUCAUGGGGCUUCUACAAUACGUCCGAAAGGCAAGUCCAACUCCAUGUCCAAAUCCAAGUCCCUCGGACAUGGGUGCGCGCGCACGUUGUUGACAACUGUCGCUGAGUUGUAAAUGAAAAAAAAAUUCGACAGAUCUCGUUCUCGUGAUUUUGAGGUUAUACGCACGUUAUAUACGUUUGUGCUGUUUGUAGUGCUAUAUAAAGGCUGAAUAAAAAUAUUUGUUGUUGUUGCCGCUGCCGUCUCAUCGUUUUCUAAAGAUAUGGAAGACAAUAAUAUUCUUCUCAUUCGCUUGGUACAAAUGUACCCAUGUAUUUACGAAAAGGCGACGGAGGAUUACAGGGACAAUCUAAAAAAUAAGGAAGCUUGGAAUAAAAUAGUUACUAUUUUUAAUGAGAGAAUGCAGUGUAACCUCAAAGUGCCACAAGCAAUGAAUAGGUGGAAGACGUUGAAGGACGAAUAAGCGAAGGAAAGAUUGAGAUUGAGGGCCUACAUUCCUUCUGGGUCGGCAGCUCAAAAAGCUCCUCGAGUAGAAUGGCCCUACUACUUUGAGAUGAGCUUCAUGCAGCAAAUUAUAGAUCACAUGGGUUACGUCAAAUCUUUCCAAAGAGCACGCCCUCAAGAAGAAGAAGAAAUAGAAGUAUAGGAUGAAGAUAAAGAAUGAUUUAUAUAAGUUGUGCAAAAAGCCCGAAACCCGACCCGAAAAUUUCAGGCUUUACAAUUUUCGGGUCGGGCUUUUUCAUUAACCCGAAAAAUUUAAUUUUAUUUAUUAACAAAAAAAUGUUUGAAUUUUCGCGAUUGAACUUUCUCGAUACAUCCAGUUCUCGAAAGUUUUGAAAAAAUUUUUUUUUGUUAACUUGAGUGGUUUCAAAAACCCUAAAAAAUUUUUUAGCCAGCCGUUUACGAAAUAUGAAUUUUUCCAACUUUUUGAUUGUUAAGAAAACAUUGUCUUUAAUUGCUCAUAACUUAUACAGAAGUGGAUCAAUUUUAAUGUUAGUUAUAUAAAAAUUUUUAGUUUUUAGAUCAACUUCUCGAAAAUUUAAUGCGACAAAUUACCGAAAAGUUAUUUAACAAUUUUUUUUUAAUUUGUAGGUAUCUUUAUUUUAUAUUUACAGUAUAAGCAUUGUGAUUUAUUAACAUUGCAAUUUGUCUUUUCAGGUUUAUUCCCCAAUUCUGAAACAUCUACUUUUGAUACUCCCACUGUCGCUGCCACUGUGCUGCCUACUGCUUCCGAGAAUUCUUUGACGGAAAGAAAAAAUAUAUUAAGAAGGGAGCAGAUUUUUCUUUUUCACGAUACGUGGAAGCUCAUCCCGAAAGAGAAAAAAUGGUCAUGCUUUAAUGAGUUGAUGGAAUUAAUUAAAAAAUAAUUGUGUUAUAUUUACUAUGUAAUUUUUGCUUGGUCCAAGCAACAAUUGGGUGUCUACUGGUCCUGGAUGUCCUGGAAUUACUAAUUAAUAAAUAAAUAUUAACUUUUAUUGUUAAAUGAAUAAAUAA